CCUUUCGUAGCUCAGUACUUAGAGCGUUGGUGCGCUAAGCCAUAGGUCUCGGGUUCGAUUCCCGACGAGGGUG
rnacentral:tRNA from 1 species